GUGGCUGAAAAGUGUAUCAUGACUUGAUGAGUUUGUCAUAAAAGAAGGAUGGGGACCUAAGCCCUGAGGUCAUUGUGCAAUUGCCAGGUUUUUAAGGCUUUGACAGAUACACUGAAACAAGGUGAUUGCAAGAAAGUGAGAUCCAGGUUCAUGAUAGCUACGUUUAACAAGAAGCCAAGAUAAGCGUGGUUAGCUAUACCUCCACCACCCCCGACCCCAGCUCUUUUUUGCCCUUUUUGUUCAUUUUCUUUUGUUUUGUUGAAGAUAAAACUAUUCUCUGAAUCCAAGUGGAGCUACCUUCUAAAUCUGUUGACCUGGCAUUAGUGCAAUCAGAUGUGAACAUGAUCGCCUUGUCCAGCGGCAGCGGAUUGUUUUUUCUUUUAUUUAUUUAUUUUAUUUUUUGCAUGACUGUGGAGUAUAUUCAUUUCAUUAUACUUUGAAUGAAGUUUCUCUCGAUAUUUAGAA